UACGGAGGAUGCAAGCGUUAUCCGGAAUGAUUGGGCGUAAAGCGUCCGCAGGUGGCUGUGUAAGUCUGCUGUUAAAGAGUGAGGCUCAACCUCAUAAAAGCAGUGGAAACUACACGGCUAGAGUGCGUUCGGGGCAGAGGGAAUUCCUGGUGUAGCGGUGAAAUGCGUAGAUAUCAGGAAGAACACCGGUGGCGAAAGCACUCUGCUAGGCCGCAACUGACACUGAGGGACGAAAGCUAGGGGAGCGAAUGGG
rnacentral:rRNA from 1 species